CUGAACCUGGUGGAAGGACACAGACACUGCCAGCACUGCAGUCCCAUCAGCUGCCUAUGGGAAGAGAAGGCGUGCAUUUAACUCCAGACGCAGACAGCAAAGAACAAUCCUACUUGUCUGAUAAAAGGUCCUGUCUGCACUGGAAUGCUGUCUGGGUCUACCCCCAGCCCAGGUCUGCAGCAGCACACUGCAACAAUGCACUGAAACCAGUUCUGCCUGUCAGCUGAACCGCCGUGCAAUUUGUAAUUUCUAUUUACUGAUGUCCCAGCACCUCCUUCCGAUGGUGCUAACCAUGCAUACAGUACCUGAUGGAUACACUGGUGCAGGUCCAAGAUACAGGCGUACAUAAACUGGGUUAGUUCCUUAAAAGAAAAGCUAAAUUUGCAUCAGUAAGUUUGCAAACUGAGCUAAGCUGACAUAGCAUCCUAGAUGCCCACUGCAAUUGGCUGUCAAGGCAGUAAGAAUGCCUGAUAGGUCAGGCCUAGGAAGCCCUGUAAGACAUGCCUAGUUCAGCUGGCAAUAACAAACAGUGCCAUUUUUAUAGGCCUGCUACUUAACCAUGUCAGUAGACUUCUUCUCUACUGGUGGGACGCAGGCAAUACUGUUUACUUUUGAAGUGGUCGCUGAGCACUUACCAAACCCAUAUCUAUUGCGUUAAAUAAACCACUUGACACUUAAUACCAAAGCAUUAUCCACAUUUUUUCCAGCAGCUACCACUACACCCCAAGGCUUUUUACUUAGAGAUACCAUUAUCUCUUUUUUAUGUGCGUAAUAAAGGGAGCAGAGGCCCAAACUCUCUGUUAGGGUAGCUCUAUGUACCUCACUAACCCAAGCUGUCACCCUCAUAAUUUGUGAGCUUUAAAGGCACCUUGGCUGCAGGAGGAAGUACAAGACCAGGAUUCAGAAGAACUUAAUUCCACUUUCUGACUGCAUGGGCAGAUCACUCCUUACUGCUCCGCUUAGGCUGCGGAAACCAAACGAUGCCCACUAAUUUAAGAAACACAAGAAAAGAAAACAACUUACAGACGAUGCUGAAUAGAUUCAUAUUAAAUGCUAUUGUUGAAAAUACAAAUAGUUACGUUUCCUACUACACGCUCACUUCCCCAGAAGCACGUCUCCAAACCCAUAGUAUUUUUUAAAAGACAGAAACUCCAGUUUCAGGAAGUGGACGGCUUUAUUUUUGUGCCAUUCCAAAAAUGCCUUUUAACUUGUCAAACGAUACGCUACAAAUAUCUUUGGCAGAUGAAUAAAACCAAGUUUCCUGUCAUAGCUGCCAACUUCAAGGUUGAGAUAAUCAGAUAAAUCUUUAGUUUGCCUUCCCCAAUACUUACAACAACAUAUGUUUGAAGCGAUCCACAUUUGUCUUGCUUUUCCUGGCGGGAUUUGAGAAGGCAAAGUAUCAGACCACGGUGUGACACAUUUGUAUAACACGAGAUGAGGUCCACAACUGUUCCAGUCACCUUCUGUUCUCAGCACUCCUCAGGUUUCCCCUACCCCAGGUUAAAUAAUCCCCAGUAGAACUGUCUGCUCAUUUAAAGAUAAAAGCAAAUCACAGAAUCACAGAAUGGCCAGGGUUGGAAGGGACCUCAAGGAUCACGAAUCUCCAACU